GACGAAAGCCGGCGGCGUGCCUAAUACAUGCAAGUGGGACGCAAGGAAACACACUGUGCUUGCACACCGUGUUUUCUUGAGUCGCGAACGGGUGAGUAACGCGUAGGUAACCUGCCUAUUAGCGGGGGAUAACUAUUGGAAACGAUAGCUAAUACCGCAUAAUAUUAAUUAUUGCAUGAUAAUUGAUUGAAAGAUGCAAGCGCAUCACUAGUAGAUGGACCUGCGUUGUAUUAGCUAGUUGGUAAGGUAAGAGCUUACCAAGGCGACGAUACAUAGCCGACCUGAGAGGGUGAUCGGCCACACUGGGACUGAGACACGGCCCAGACUCCUACGGGAGGCAGCAGUAGGGAAUCUUCGGCAAUGGACGAAAGUCUGACCGAGCAACGCCGCGUGAGUGAAGAAGGUUUUCGGAUCGUAAAGCUCUGUUGUAAGUCAAGAACGUGUGUGAGAGUGGAAAGU
rnacentral:rRNA from 1 species